CCAACCCCUGAGUUGUCUGGCGCUAGAUCGGCGUUUGCAGCAUCCCAGCAUCCACCGUCGGCGCCAUCCCCCCCCUCCAGCCUUUCCCCAUGGCGCCCACCCUCCCGACCGGCCAGUGCUAUGCUGGAUGGCCGGCGACGCCCUCCCUUCCCUCCUGAUCCGCCUGCGCUGCGCUAGAUCUGGGCACCAUCUUCACCCAUCGCGCCGCCCCUGGCCGGUGAUGGAGCAAGCGGCUCCACUUUGGUAUAGGCUCCGGCGCCGCCCUUCCCCGACCGCAUCAAGCUGCUGGUGCUGCCUGUCAUCUUCUUCGGGCUUGCCUCCCAUGGCCUUCCCCAUGUGCUAUGUCUCCUCGCAGGCGGCCGAGCCCACCACUGCUCCGUGGCCCCUCUUUGGUUCUCCUCCUGCUAGCAAGCCGGCUCAGGAAGCACGCUCCAGCCAUGGUGAGCCUCCCGCGUGUGCCUGUGCAGUGCACGGUCCCUCGAGGUGCAGUGCGGCGGGUGUGCGUGCAGCCUAGCUCAAAGCAAAAGUGCAGUAAUGGGGAUGGAAGCGCAGGUGGAGGUGCACAAUAAGCUCGAUGUCGCUGACGGCCUCCCUCUGUCCAUGCGCAUGUGAUGCAGUGUGGAACCAAGCCCAGCUCUUCACCGACCCCCCUUCAUCAUAUUCCGGUGAGGUGCCAGCCCAUGCAUGAUAUGCAGUACUGACGGCGACGCCGUGCAGUUCGCCCUGUGAAUCCUGUCCAGUGCAGUUCAAACGCUCAUUGAGGACUUGGAGCUCGCCCGCGAGUGUCUCGUGGUCCGCCCAGCUCGGGCGUGCAGUCCACUAUUGGUUCCUCCACCGCUGCAAGUCCUCCACCUGUUGCGCCGUCCUCCACGGUACAGUACACACGGCCAGAGUAUGCCACAGCCCACAACUCCAGCAGGGGUAAAAGAGUGUUUGCAGGAUUGGCACAUGUACUUCCGGCAAGGCGGCAGCGCAUCCAUGCAAGUUUUUUCUUCCGUGUCUUUGUAUAGCUCGGCGGUGUGGCAGUGUGCACCUCCAGCGGUUCAUCUCAUCUGUGUGUGUGCGGUCCGGCAUUGGUCAUCUAUGUUGCCGUGAUUUGGUCGCUGUCGACUAUGUAUGGAUGUACAUCGCGGUCAAGCGAUGUGUGCGGUUUGGCCUCACGAGUGUUGCCAUUCGGCAACCGCGACGAUGCAAUUUCGUUCAAUAUGGCUGUUUGGUUUGUGCUAUUCGCCGGGUCUUGCUAUUUUUUUAUUCUAUCUGAUUGAUGGCUUGUUAUGUAGAACUUGCAAAGUUUGUUUCGUAAUUGUUGGAAAACUCAA